rnacentral:lncRNA from 1 species
GGUCCCGCCUCCAUGCCCAUCCCAAGAUGGCGGAGAUCCCCCUGUACUUUGUGGACUUGCAGGAUGACUUAGACGACUAUGGAUUUGAAGACUAUGGUACAGAUUGCGACAACAUGAGAGUAACGGCCUUCUUGGACAUUCCAGGCCAGGAUAACCUGCCUCCACUCACUCGCCUGGAGAAGUAUGCUUUCAGCGAGAACACCUUCAACCGGCAGAUUAUUGCCAGAGGGCUGCUUGAUAUCUUCCGGGACUUCGGUAACAAUGAAGAAGACUUCCUCACGGUAAUGGAGAUUGUAGUCAGAUUGUCAGAAGAUGCAGAGCCCACAGUGCGGACUGAGCUGAUGGAACAGAUUCCUCCUAUUGCCAUUUUUUUACAAGAAAACAGAUCAAAUUUUCCAGUGGUGCUCUCUGAAUAUCUCAUACCUAUUGUAGUGAGGUACCUCACAGAUCCAAACAAUCAGAUAAUCUGCAAAAUGGCUUCAAUGCUGAGUAAGAGUACCGUUGAACGCCUGCUACUCCCCCGAUUCUGUGAACUGUGUGGUGACAGGAAGCUCUUUCAAGUUCGGAAGGUUUGUGCUGCAAAUUUUGGUGAUAUUUGUCAUGCUGUUGGACAAGAAGCCACUGAGAAAUUUUUGAUCCCAAAGUUCUUUGAGCUCUGCUCUGAUGCUGUUUGGGGCAUGCGGAAAGCCUGUGCAGAAUGCUUCACGGCUGUGUCGCACAGCUCCUCCCCUGGGGUCCGCAGAACCCAGCUCUUCCCGCUCUUCAUCAGACUUGUCAGCGACCCCUGCCGAUGGGUGAGUGCCAGCAGCCCUGUCCAGACACCAGCCUCUGUUGACCAACUGAACAGCUACGUCUGGCUUCCAGGCUGGGAUUCACUUCUGGGCUUGUAACUUUGUAUUUUGUCCCUUCAGUUACUGAUUGCCAUAAUCACAUUUAGACCUUGUGAGGUCUCAGGGAAACUAAAAUCUCAAAAGCUUGGGGUGAGUUAAGAAGGUGAGGUACACCGUACCAUUUAUAGUGAACGAAUAUCAUGAAAAUCAUAAUUGAGAAAGAAAAAACUAUGUAACUGAACUGUUACCUUUUCUGUUGCUAUCAUAAACAUGUCUGUAAUGAUUAAUAAGGCCUGUUCAAAUACUUGAUAUAAAAUGUAUUAUUCAUAUAAAAUUAAUAUUCUGGAAGAAUGAAAACAGUAUAAUGGGGCUAAAUUUUUCCUUACUUUCUGUUGAAUAAUAGUAUUUGGAAUUUAGGGAAUGAUUUAGAAAGCAAUAAAUCUCCAUAGAUGUAAUGUG